ensembl:lncRNA
GACUGUGACCAGCACACAGCGUGGAAUACGUUUAUGCUGUAAAAUGCUGCUAAUGAUAACAUCAGACUGAGCGGGGUUUGAUCAAAGCCUCCACUGAGAGGUUUGUGAAGAUAGGAGGCCUGGGUUAGAGUGGUCGGGUCCCGCCGAGUGUUUGCAACAGCAACCGAAGUGGGAAGCCGCCCCGCUGGUGACAGUUUGCCGGAGCAGCCUUGAGACAUGGACGCCACGUCCAGAGGAACAGUGGAGCCAAAAGACAGCUCGCUGAGCGCCUGGCUAAGUUCACGGGGAGAAUUUACAGAGACGCUGCACAGAUGGAGGGGUUUUUCUACUUCCAGCUUCCGAGAGACUGGCUUCACCUCCAUCACCGAUAGGGACCCUCAAACCUCCCGAUCCCACCCGGCCCUGCAUGGAGCAGAAGAAGCAUCCCUCAUCCCACCGUGGUCCCUUGCCAACCCUUCAGAGAAGGGAAACAGAGACGGUGACGUCACUGGGCUGAUGCGAAGAGUAACUGAGAGAGGACAUGUGCAGGCGUCUGGCACAAGGACCCUCAGGUAAGGGGCAUACCAUGAUCAGUACGAUAUUAGAGAGAGUGGAUUUUUGUCUUGUGAUUCUUUCUGUUCUUAUUCCAUGGAAUGCCUAUCAUUUCCUCAAUGGGAAUCUGCUGGACAUUUGGUCUCUGGAGGAAAGGACUAGAACAGAGCACCCUCUGUGGACAUCGAUGCAGUUUCAGUGGCCAGUGACACGGCUCCAAGGAAGCAUUCCCCACUGCUCUCCCGCAAGCAUGAGUCUGGAAAAGGAUGGAAAGG